GCCAGGCGUGAUGGUUCACGCCUGCAAUCCCAACACUUUAGGAGGCUGAGGCUGGAGGAUGCCUUGAGCCCAGGAGUUCGAGGCUGCAGAGAGCUAUGAUUACCACUGAAAUGCAGCCUGGGUGACAGAGACUCUGCCUCAAAAAUAAAAAAGAAAAGAAAAAAAAAGAAAGAAAGGAGGGAAGUUUUGUGUUUUUCUUUUUUUUUUUUUUUUUUGAGAUGGCAUGAUCUCUCUUUUUUUUUGAGGUGGAGUUUCACUGUGUCACCCAGGCUGGAGUGCAGUGGUAAUCAUAGCUCACUGCAGCCUCGAAUUCCUGGGCUAAAGGCAUCCUCAGGCCUCAG
rnacentral:sRNA from 1 species